rnacentral:rRNA from 1 species
UUUAAUAUGUUAGGUCAAGGUGUAGUCCACAAUAAAGUAUUAAAUGAGUUACUUUAAAAAUAAUUUUAGGAUUGGGGCAUAAAAAUGUUUUAUAAAAAAGGAUUUAAUAGUAAAUUAUAAAAAUUAAUGUUAAUUGAAAGAGAUAAUAAAUGUGUACAUAUCGCCCGUCACCCUUAUCUCAAGAUAAGGUAAGUCGUAACAUAGUUGAUGUUUUAGAAAAAGCAUCAAGAUCUUAAAAGCUUUAUAGCAUUUCAUUUACACUGAAAAUAAAUCUUAAAAUUAAAAUCUAAUUUAUUUUCAAAAAAUACUUUUUUAUUUAUCUUUAAAUAAAUUUUUAAACAAACUGAAAAGGAAAAUUAAAUUUACUCAAAGAAACCCAAUGUUCCUUUUGUAUCAGGAUUUGUUAAAUCUCUUAAAUAUUCAACCUUCCCGAAAAAUUGUGAUCUAAAUAUUCUCAUAUUUAUUGUUUCAAAAAUAACUCAAAAGAAUAUUUAGAAAUUAUACGUUUACCGUACAGUUUUAUAUCUGGUUCUUAAAAAAUCUUCACAAUAAAACAAAACCAAAAAGAAUAAACUUGUUGGUAAAUUUACAUUUCAAUUACUCCUCUUAAGGGAUAAAAGUACCCAUAAAGUUUUACAACUAAUUCAAACUCAAAUUAAAUAAUAUUAUUUAAGAACUUUUACCUAAAAAAUAUAAUAAUAAAAUAAGUAAAUCAUUAAAUUUAAUAUAUAAAACUCGGCCUAAAUUAAAUGACUGUUUAUCAAAAACAUUUCUAAUAGAAUUCAUUAUUAGUAUUAUCUGCUCAAUGAUAAUAAAUAGCCGCAAUUACAUUGUGCUAAGGUAGCAUAAUCAUUAGUCUUUUAAUUAAAGACCAGCACGAAAGAUCCAACAUUUUAAUUUCUAUUAUAUAUAAAUUUAUUAAAAUUAUUUUAAAUGUAAAAAAACAUUUAUACAAAAAAGAGACAACAAGACCCUAUUGAACUUUACUUUAGUUUAACUGGGGCAGUUAAUUAAUUAAAAUUUUAAUUUACACUAAAUACCCAAUUGACCCGAUUUAAUCGAUUAUAUAAUCAAGUUACCAUAGGGAUAACAGCGUAAUAAUUUUCUAAAGAUCUUAUUUAAAAAAUUGAUUGCGACCUCGAUGUUGAAUUAAUUAUCUAUUUAAUGCAAUAAUUAAAAAAGAAAGUCUGUUCGACUUUUAAAUAAUUACAUGAUUUGAGUUCAGACCGGCGUAAGCCAGGUCGGUUUAUAUCUUUUACUUAAUUUUUAAUAGUACGAAAGGACCUUAAAAAGUAUUUUAAA